GAACCCGGAAGCUGGAAGCCGCCCGAGCGCGCCCCCGAGGGCCGUCCGGAACCGUGGGUAGCGGCCACCCACCCACGCCGCCCCCCGUUUCCUCACAGCGGUCCUUGGGAGACCUCCUUCAGCCUUUCCGGUGAAGCGCCUUCCCUGUCAUUCAUUCAUUCACUCAUUCAUUCAUUCAUUCAUUCAGUUAUCUAUUCUGAGUGUGUAAGAUCUACCCCCACAUUCUUAUUGGCCCUGCGUAUACAGCAGUUAACAAAACGCAGUUCCUGCUUUCUUGGAACUUAAUUACAUUGAAAUUAAUUGACAAUAACAAAUAGAAAAAUAAAUAGAUAAUACCCCAGGCGAUUGUGAGGACCAUGAAGAAAAGGAAAGCAGGGUGGGGAGAUGAUGGGCUAGGAUAUUUGUAUCAACCCACU
rnacentral:lncRNA from 10 species